rnacentral:lncRNA from 1 species
UCAAUAGACGAAUUAAAAGAGCCAAGUUAAAAUGGAAAGCAGGAAAGGGGCAUGCAUUCAGCAUGGUCACUUUGGGAAGAAGGACAGCAGCAUCCAGUGAAUCCCCUAAGUCUUUUGGGGUCUUGAAUCAAGAUUAAAGCUUAAAAAGAGGUACAAGGAUACGAAUGUCUAAGCAGCCAGCCCCAGUCAAGGUGGUCUCACCCAUACUGUCUGGGCUUUAUCUGUAAGGUGGUCUGACAAGUUGCUAGAAGCCUGUGAAAUUGCUUUCAGAAGAAAAGUUCCCCUCUGGCCACUGCCUUUUCCUUCUCCCAGCAAGCGAUUCCUGGAGAUAUGCCCAUUUCUUUGGGAUCUAUUGUUUCAACAAUCUGAUAGUCAGAUUGAGAGACACAAGUGUCUCUUUAGAAUAUCCUCAUUUCUGCCAGGAUAGUUACAUGCACAGCUGUCUGCCUUAAUGGCGUUUUUUGUUCUAUUUGUUUGGUAGGUUUGGGUUUUGAUUAUGCUUGUGGAUGUGCCUGAGUAUGUGUGUUCAUGCCUGAGUGUGUCUGCACUCGCUUAUGUGUGUAUGUGUGCAUGUGUAUGUGCUUGUGUGCAUUCACAUGUAUGUGAGCAUGCAUGUGUGUGCAUCUGUAUGUGUGUGAAUGCAUGCAUGUGUGUGCGUAUGUGUGUUUAUGCCUGAAUGUGACUGCAUGUAUGUGUGUGCACUCACUUGUGUACAUGCAUGUGCAUAUUUGCGUGUGUGUGUAUGUGUAUAUGCUUGUGUGCAUUCACAUGUGUGUGUGUAUGUGUGUGUGCAUGGGUAUGGACAUGCGUGUGUGUUUUAUAAGGAGAUUGAGGAAGCAGUCCUGAGUUGGGAAGGUUGCUGAGAUAGAAGUCUUCUGAAGUGACUUCCGGGUGUGGGACUCCUUGUAACUGAACUCUCUCCCUGCCCACUGACACCUCCUAUUGUAAAGCAGGAGAGCAACACACAGUAACAUCUGUCAUCCUAGAAGCCAUUGGGACCAACUGGAGAAAGGGUCUGAUGAAGUGAAGAAGUGGUGAACUAUUUCAGCCCCAGGUCAUUUCUUGGGCCACCCAACACUAGAGUGUUGGCAAUGGCUUGAGCAACUUGAACAUCUGCUAGUUCAGUGCUCUACAUCCUGGGUUAUCACUCCUGUGAACAAGUGCUGUGAGACACUUGAUAUCAGUCUUUGUACAACACCAAACAGGAAAACAACCCAACCACAAAGUGUUUCCGGUGUUCUCAAAGGAAGGGAAUGUUUUUCAUAAUGAAAUUAAAUGUUUCUGGCUACCCAGUAUGUUCCCAUUGCCUAUAUUCCCUUAGGGUAUUACCUGUUCUUCAUAAUCACUGUCAGUACCCUGUACUGACAAUAAUAUCAAUGAUCAGGCAGCUGUGGAACAGGUAGGGGGAUGCAGGUGUGCAGUAAAUGUAAAUCUCAGCGUGGGGGAGCUAAAACAGUGUGUGAGGUAGUUUUCCAAGAUAGUUUUCCAUUACUGUUAGUUACC